UCUAUGGUAUAGAAACACAUUUUUCCAUCGGUAAGUAAUUUUUAUAAAUUAUUUAGUUUUUAGAAUUUUUUGCUCCAUUUUCUACCUCUGAAAGUAACCUCCUUGAAAAGUGACUAUCGAUAAUCACGGAAUAAUUUCGCCGGUCGCCGAACCUCACAAAUACCUCCAACUUUCAUGCCCAUGCAUUGGAUUUUGAACAUUUUAGUUUUUGACCGAUUUUUUUUGGAAAAACCAAAAUUUUGGAAUGUUGGAGGUAACUUGAGCCACCCAAUUUUCGCAAGUCUUCCGGGAACAAUCUAUACAGUAAUGGUUUUCAUGAUACAUUCUUAGUAAAAUUGGCAUUCCUUUAGACCAUCAAUCAACUCCUUCACGUAUCUUUCAUAUUUACUGUUCGUCCUAAGUGAAUUUUAUAUAAAUUGGAUGCAAUAUAAACUAAAAAAUAUGAAGAUAGUUUUCAGCGCACUCACCUUUCACUAGGUACCUACUUUUCGGAAGCUAAUCUGGGUCUCUAUCAAGUAGAUAACUUUUCUAUUAUUGGUGCCUGCAUCUAAACCAUUCCCAACAUUUGAUUUUUCAGAUACAAUGACACGUUCUAAAAGACAAGAAAGAAGAAGGAGGUCACAGGGGCCAAGACGAAGGUACCGUGAAUUUGAUAAUGAUGCACUGACAAAUUCUUUGAAGGCCAUUAAGCAGGGUGCUAGUAUCAAUUCAACAGCGAAGAAAUAUGGGAUUCCGCGUCGCACGCUACAAAGACACAUCAAAGGAGUUCAAAUUAAUGCUAGCAUAUGUGUAUCGGUUCAGGUUCAGCCGUUGUUCUUGUCAAUAAUUAAUUGUUGAUGGAGAAUCGUAAACCUAAACAAGUGCUGCCGUACUACGAAUGCUCUCAGCAAACAAAAUACAGACGGAUACAAAAUGGAUUGAAAGUUGCCAUCAGAAGUGACAGAGGACUGCCUGAAGUGGAGGUAUGCAGCCAUUCUGACUACGACUUGGUUGUUGGAAAUGUUGAUGAUGUUGAAAUUGUUGUUGA
rnacentral:lncRNA from 1 species